UACACGGUAAUAACUUCACGUCAAGUGUC
rnacentral:piRNA from 1 species